UACAGAGGGUGCGAGCGUUGUCCGGAAUCACUGGGCGUAAAGGGCGCGUAGGUGGCGACCCAAGUCUGUGGUGAAAGCUCGACGCUCAACGUCGAGUCGGCCAUAGAUACUGGGUUGCUUGAGCACUGUAGAGGCAGAUGGAAUUCCGGGGUGUAGCGGUGGAAUGCGUAGAGAUCCGGAAGAACACCGGUGGCGAAGGCAGCUUCCUGGCCCACAACUGACGCUGAGGUGCGAAAGCGUGGGGAGCAAACAGG
rnacentral:rRNA from 1 species